CCCCAAUUCGUCCGUGCAAGUAAACAGUAAACGGCAUCAAAUCAAGCUCUGCACGAAGUCAUGCUUUGUUAUGGCCAGUCUAUAUUCAGACGGUAAACUACAGCGGGUAAAUAUACAGAGUCUAUUCACUCCUUUUGGUCAAGAAACUGUUGUAUGGAAACUUUUGUCAAUGAGACGGUUCACGUUGUAUGUCCAACAAAACUCAAAACAGAGAAAAAGUACAAGGAACAAAAAUCAAAAGAAAUAACAGUUGCUAUCUGUGCUAUGCUCAAUAGCAAUGGCGGAAAGGUCAGACUGUCUUACGAAUCCAAGAGUGACUCAUGUGAAAGUUUAAAAUCAUCGAUGAGUCGAAUGCUGGAACAAUUAAUUAUAUCAAUAGUUGGACCUCGCAUGGCUACUUCUAAAAUAUGUAUGAAAGAUGACGAAGAAGGCCUGGUCAUUCUCGUUAAAAAAGCCGAUUAUUUAAUAACGACCAGUUAUAACCUUUAUUUACCCAGUCAAACACAAGUUGUCCAGUUAGAUCCCCGAGAACCAAUAAAAAAUGUCGUAAAGGAUAUUAUCGACAGAAGAGUCGUUCCCGAACCUGUGGAACUUGGCUCACAUCAGAAGAUUUUUCGUCGAGGUCAAGAUUCCCAUCUCAGGGAAAGCAAAAUGUGUCAGUUUAAGCAACUUAAAGCAGAUCAAUCCAAACGCACGACGUUAGCAGAUCGUAUGACGGGUAAAAGCAAUAAAUUCAGCUGUUAUGUUUCGGCAUAUGCCAACUACAGGGGAGGACACAUCUACUAUGGUAUCACAACAUGUGAUAUAUUUAUUGAGGGAGAGGUUAUUUCAAAUGACGAGGACAAGCGAGAUAUUAUAAAAAAAGUUGAAAAAACCAUCAAUAAGAUGAUUUGGCCUGAGCAUAUUGGUCAACCAAAACGAGGAGAACACUGGGAUAUAUUCUUCGAAUCAGUGUUAGAUGAGAACUCUACAACAAUCCCUUCCACCUUUGUGAUCGUCAUUUACAUUGCUCCCUGUUUUGGUGGUGUGUUUACGGAAGAACCAGAUUGUUAUGAAAUGGUGGAUGGGAAAAUAAGGAAAAUGACGUUUAUUGCAUGGAUGGAAAGGAUACAUUAUGACGAGGUGGUAUUGCGUUCACGGCCCGUUACUUCUCACAUUAAACGCAUCACAUGGAGUUCAACUAGACUUCAGAGGAUUUGCACUCAUGCAGACCACGAUUUAACACAAAAGCUUAAUAACGGACAAUCUAUUCAGGAAACCUGUAAGUCUCUUGAAUCAAAAUACCCUCGGGAACUUAGGGAAGUAAGAUUAUUGGUUUUGUCGAAGGAACUGAUGUUUUCGUACCGAACGAAUGAUUUCAGAAACGUAGACAGGUUACUUGAGCAAUACGAAGCUCUUCAAAUUGACACUUCAGAUUUUGCAAUUUUUGACGCGAUACUUACUUACAUAAAGGUUGCUUUACGCCGUGCCAAAGGAGAAAUUCAAAUGGAAGAAAUAAUCUCUGACGCUUUAUCUAAAGCAGAGAUGAUCGAACCAAGUCUUAUUACUGCUGCGAUAUAUCUACUUGUUGCUUCAAUAGCAAGUUCCUCUAGUGAAAUACCAGGUUACAUUGCAACAAUUCUUUCAACAACAGCUUUAGAACAUUUACAAUACGUCCAUGAUUCUCCCAUAGUUCGAGCAGACUUGGAACAAAAGGCUCACAUUACCUUAGCACAACAUCACCUGGGUUAUAAUGCAUAUGGGAUGCAAACUAGGGAGACAUUCGAUAGCAAGGACUUAGACAAAGCAAAAUCCAGUCUUGCGAAAGUCGAUAAAUUAAUCUUCGAGGGAAAAUCGGUAUAUAAUUAUCGCAAUAUACAUUUAAAUCUGGCGAAGGCAUAUCUUCGAAAUCGACAAUCCGAAAUCCAUCCUGAUGAAUCGUUGCUGAAAGAAGCUUUUCAAUAUUCAAAACAAGCUGAAAACCUUGCGACAAAAGAUCCAUCAUUGUUGCUCUUACGGAAUCAUGCAAGAUUAUUUUGUAAAGACAUUGUAUCAGGUUGUUAUGUUUAUAUCCUAAAAUACCACAUCAUUGCAAGCAGAUAGCUCACCACAUUCUACAGUCGGAGAAAUCGUAAUACUGUACGAAAUUACACGCCCGGCAGCCAGACAACAGGAAUGAACUUUGAAGACACAAAUCUACGACCACAAUGACAUCCGUAAGCAUUCGUGUUGACGAGACUGGCCAUUUCAUGGAUUUUUGUAAAUUGGAAACCAACAAAAAGUACAAGAAACAAAAACGUAAAGAAAUAAUAUCUGCUAUUUGUGCUCUGCUCAAUACUAAUGGUGGAAAAGUUUUGUUGCAUAACGAAUGCAAGUGUGGAUCAGGCAAACAUUCUUCCCUUGUGGUGCGAAUACUGGAACAAUCUAUGAUAUCGAUCAUUGGAGUGAUUUAGACUGUCUCGAAUAUAAUAUUCUGGAGGGAAGCCAAUAUUUAGUAAUUUCCGUCGAGAAAGUGACUAUUUAAUAACCACUAAUUACAAUCUUUAUCUUCCAACUGACAGUCAAGUUGCACAAAUAUCUCCCCUGGAAUCACUAUCAUCAAUAAAUUUCAAAUUUGUGGUGUUCGUGAGAGCAAAAUGUGUCAAUUUAACUUUAAAUGCAGAUCAAUCUAAACGCACAACGUUAUAGCAGAUCGUAUGACUGGUAAAAGCAACAAAUUCAGCUGUUAUGUUCGGCAUAUACCAACUACAAGGGAGGACAUAUCUACUUUGGUAUCACAGGGGAGAAACUUGUUGAAGGAGAAGUUGUUGUGAAUGAAGAAGAUAAACAAGAAAUUAUAAAGAAAGUUGAAAAAACCAUCAACAAGAUGAUUUGGUCUGAGUAUAUUGGUCAACCAAAACGAGGAGAACACUGGGAUAUAUUCUUCGAAUCAGUGUUAGAUGAGAACUCCACAAUAAUCCCUUCCACCUUUGUGAUCGUUAUUUACAUUGCUCCCUGUUUGGGUGGUGUGUUUACGGAGGAACCAGAAUGUUAUGAAAUGGUGGGGUGAAGAGUUGAAAAGAUGUCUUUUAUUCGGUGGAAAAAACGAAUUUGGGAGCGAGUUUGGACACAUUUUUUUGCCAAAAUUUACCAUUCAGUUUCCAGCAUCACAUGGAGCUCAGUGAAGGCUCGCAAAGACUUUACUGAGACUCAUAAGGUGCUAAUGCCUUUAAUUAAAGCGUGUCCAGUCAGGUCCAAAAAAACCCUAAACUGUUUUGAAAACACCUUGAAUGCCCCAGCACUUUGCAAAAAGUUGCAAAAAUGCAGGUCGUCCCAAAAAACCCAAAACCAUUGAAUUCACUCAUAACAGUGCAAUAGUUAUUAGUAAGCCUAAUUCUGAUAUGUCGUAAUUCAUCGGUGAUAAAUUUUUUUUUUCCAGGGCCACAAAGCAUUUUAUGCUUUGUCCACCACAGCCGAUGAAUGGCGAUAUACGAGAACCAGGCCUUAGAGUUUGAAUGUCUAAGCACCCUGUUGGGACCCACAGCCACAAGUGUAUUAAUGUUUUAUACACAAGCAUAUAAACGUAUAUACAGUAUACAUACAUAAGCAUUUUUAUGCAUGAUGACAGAAAACCAGGUUUUG